rnacentral:tRNA from 1 species
GCUGAUGUUGCUCAGUGGUUGAGCAUCAACCUAUGAAUCUGGAGGUCAGGGUUUGAUUCCCUGUCAAGGCA